rnacentral:rRNA from 1 species
UUCCGGUUGAUCCCGCCGGACCCCACUGCUAUCGAGAUGGGACUAAGGUAUGCUAGUCGAACGACCAGAACUAUGUCUGGGAGUGGCACACUGCUCAGUAACACGUAGCUAACCUACCCUUAGGACGUGGAUACCCCCGAGAAAUUGGGGUUAAUCCGCGAUAGAUGUAAUGUCCUGGAAUGGUAUUACGUCUAAAGGUAUUUCAUACAUGUUUGAAAUAUGCCUAAGGAUGGGGCUGCGGCCGAUCAGGCUGUUGGUGAGGUAAUGGCUCACCAAACCUUUGACCGGUACGGGCCAUGAGAGUGGUAGCCCGGAGAUGGACACUGAGACAAGGGUCCAGGCCCUAAGGGGCGCAGCAACCGCGAAACCUCCACAAUGCACUCACGUGUGAUGGGGCUAUCUCGAGUGCCACCUGAUGAAGGUGGCUUUUCCUUGGUCUUCAAAGCCUUGGGAAUAAGAGGGGGGCAAGACUGGUGUCAGCCGCCGCGGUAACACCAGCCCCUCGAGUGGUGGGGAUGAUUAUUUGGCCUAAAGCGUCCGUAGCCGGCCGUGAAAGUCUUCCGUUAAAUCCAGCGUCUCAAGCGUUGGACCGCGGGAGAUACUACAUGGCUAGAGAGUGGGAGAGGUCAGCGGUAUUCUGGGGGUAGGGGCGAAAUCCUUUGAUCCCCGGAGGACCACCAGUGGCGAAGGCUGCUGACUAGAACACGUCUGACGGUCAGGGACGAAAGCUGGGGUAGCGAACCGGAUUAGAUACCCGGGUAGUCCCAGCCGUAAACGAUGCAUGCUAGGUGUUGGGUUG